CGCGGCCUAUCAGCUUGUUGGUGGGGUAAUGGCCUACCAAGGCUUUGACGGGUAGCCGGCCUGAGAGGGUGACCGGCCACACUGGGACUGAGACACGGCCCAGACUCCUACGGGAGGCAGCAGUGGGGAAUAUUGGACAAUGGGCGGAAGCCUGAUCCAGCAACGCCGCGUGAGGGAUGACGGCCUUCGGGUUGUAAACCUCUUUCAGUACCGACGAAGUCUCUGCUUUUUGGUGGGGGUGACGGUAGGUACAGAAGAAGCACCGGCCAACUACGUGCCAGCAGCCGCGGUAAUACGUAGGGUGCGAGCGUUGUCCGGAAUUAUUGGGCGUAAAGGGCUCGUAGGCGGUUUGUCGCGUCGGGAGUGAAAACCAGGGGCUUAACCCCUGGCUUGCUCUCGAUACGGGCAGACUAGAGGUAUGCAGGGGAGAACGGAAUUCCUGGUGUAGCGGUGAAAUGCGCAGAUAUCAGGAGGAACACCGGUGGCGAAGGCGGUUCUCUGGGCAUGUCCUGACGCUGAGGAGCGAAAGUGUGGGGAGCGAACAGGAUUAGAUACCCUGGUAGUCCACACCGUAAACGUUGGGCGCUAGGUGUGGGAUCCAUUCCACGGGUUCCGUGCCGCAGCUAACGCAUUAAGCGCCCCGCCUGGGGAGUACGG
rnacentral:rRNA from 1 species